AUACGUAGGUGACAAGCGUUAUCCGGAUUUACUGGGCGUAAAGGGCGUGUAGGCGGUCUUGCAAGUCAGAAGUGAAAUUCCUGAGCUCAACUCGGGCGCUGCUUCUGAAACUGCAGGACUUGAGUGCUGGAGGGGAUAGCGGAAUUCCUAGUGGAGCGGUAAAAUGCGCAGGUAUUAGGAAGAACACCGGUGGCGAAGGCGGCUAUCUGGACAGUAACUGACGCUGAGGCGCGAAAGCGUGGGUAGCAAACAGGAUUAGAUCCCCUGGUAGUCCACGCCGUAAACGAUGAAUACUAGGUGUAGGGGGUAUCGACUCCCUCUGUGCCGCAGUUAACACAAUAAGUAUUCCGCCUGGGGAGUACGGCCGCAAGGUUGAAACUCAAAUGAAUUGACGGGG
rnacentral:rRNA from 1 species